rnacentral:rRNA from 1 species
UACGGAGGGUGCGAGCGUUAUCCGGAAUUACUGGGUUUAAAGGGUGCGUAGGUGGGCAGGUAAGUCAGUGGUGAAAUCUCCGGGCUUAACUCGGAAACUGCCAUUGAUACUAUCUGUCUUGAAUACCGUGGAGGUCAGCGGAAUAUGUCAUGUAGCGGUGAAAUGCUUAGAUAUGACAUAGAACACCAAUUGCGAAGGCAGCUGGCUACACGAAUAUUGACACUGAUGCACGAAAGCGUGGGGAUCAAACAGG